GGGACUACUUUCUUAGAGGGAGGGAUACAGUCAUUUCAACUGAAUGAAUCACCUUUUCUGUGUGGGAGCAGACUUUAAAGACAAAGGUUGUUUUUAUCUGUCACGUUGUUUGUUAUGUAUUAAAGUAAAUAGAUUCUGUAUGUUAAUGCACACAUGAAUACCAAACAUGAUUCUCUACUCAGAGGGAGAACUCCUCCCUGCAGGCUGCUUUCUCUGACAGUUUUAACCUUUGACUUCUAGCGUACAGUGAGAGUGUUUCCUGAUCACCUCCCCUUCCUCUUUAAACUUCAGUCACAUCAGUAGAGCUGCCGAUCUUCAUCAGGAGUAGAGACAAUAAGUCAGAUUUCUCAAACUUAUUUUAUAUUUGACAAGAUGAUCUGCCUUUUAGUUCUCUGCUGCCUUUCAGGCGGUCUGGCUCUGGAGGUCCUUCAGUCUCCCUCUGAUGUUCUGACACAACCUGGAGACAAAGUGCAGAUUUUCUGCAGCCAUAAAAAAACGGACUACCGGGUGAUGCUCUGGUACCAGCGCUCACCUGGAGACACAGCUAUGAAACUCAUCGGGUAUUUGAACGUUAAAGCAGUCACCAUGGAAGCCACAUAUGAAGCAGAUUUUACUAUGACUGGAGAUUUGGGAGGAAACACAGAAAAGAACGGCUCUCUGGUUUUCAAAAGAGUGAAAGCAGAGCACAGUGCAGUUUAUUACUGUGCAGCGAGAGAAGCACGCUGAUGAAAAGACCCCGGGAACUUUACAAAAACCCUCGGUGGGUUUUUCUCAUCCGAGGUUUUUAAAUAAGACGUGGAUUGAACUGCUCGGAGACACCUGCUUUAGUGGUUGGAUUCUGGUUUGAUGCAGUCACAUCAUCAGUUAGAGAUAAGGGGAGGGGAUCGGGGACCAGGGUUUGAUUAGUACACCAUUAAGGAUCUUUGAUAUUAGGAAGCACCAUAAGGGCCUGUGUCCACAGAAUAUUCUUUUUCCACUGGUUGGGCUGUUU